rnacentral:rRNA from 1 species
UACGGAGGGUGCAAGCGUUACUCGGAAUCACUGGGCGUAAAGCGCGCGCAGGCGGCCUUUUAAGUUGGAUGUGAAAGCCUACGGCUUAACCGUAGAACUGCAUCCAAAACUACUAGGCUAGAGUGUGGGAGAGGAAGAUGGAAUUAGUUGUGUAGGGGUAAAAUCCGUAGAGAUAACUAGGAAUACCAAAAGCGAAGGCAAUCUUCUGGAACACUACUGACGCUGAGGCGCGAAAGCGUGGGGAGCAAACAGG